GACGAACGCUGGCGGCGCGCUUAACACAUGCAAGUCGAGCGAUGAAGUCUUAACAGAACCCUUCGGGGUGAAGAUAAGACGGAUUAGCGGCGGACGGGUGAGUAACACGUGAGUAACCUGCCUUUUACACAGGGAUAGCCUCAGGAAACCGGGAUUAAAACCUGAUGAAACUAUCAAAUCACAUGAUUAAGAAAGUUAAAACUCCGGUGGUAAAAGAUGGACUCGCGUCCCAUUAGCUAGUUGGUGAAGGUAACGGCCCACCAAGGCAACGAUGGGUAGCCGGCCUGAGAGGGUGAACGGCCACAUUGGAACUGAGAAACGGUCCAAACUCCUACGGGAGGCAGCAGUGGGGAAUAUUGCACAAUGGGGGAAACCCUGAUGCAGCGACGCCGCGUGAGCGAAGAAGGCCUUCGGGUCGUAAAGCUCUUUUAUAUGGGAAGAUAAUGACGGUACCAUAAGAAAAAGCCCCGGCUAACUACGUG
rnacentral:rRNA from 1 species